rnacentral:lncRNA from 1 species
GAAGAAGAGAGAGUUGAAUAGUUCCAAAAAAAUUUCUGCUGAAAGCAGCAGAGACUAGGGGGUGCUCAACCUCGGGAUGAUUCCCUUCCCUUGAUGACAAGAGGGGAUUUAACUACUCAGGGAAUAAAAUGAGCAUGGGUUGAGGGGGCCCUCCCACCACUCUAUGUUUCGUACACCUGUUGUCUGUCCGUGGGGCCCCCCAAUCCUGCUGGUGGGAGGCUCAGGGAUGAGUGCCUGAUCUACCGUCACCAAGCAGAGCAGCUGUGCUUUUCUCCCUUCCCCAGUGCAUGGGGGUCUCGCUGGGAGGGGCCUACAGAAGCUUAGUGCACUGGGUGCUUUUCUUUCCUGGAUACUUGGGGGGCUGCCCAGAGCCCAUUUGUCCAGUGGGAAGUAAAGUCCUGGAGGAGAAGCUUAGUUGUUUGGCUGAAUAGCAGAGGCUUUCUCAGCCUAACUCUCCAAGGAGUUUCUGCUCAGGCCUCCCAGGGUAAAGCAGUGAUUUGCAGCACUUUUAGGCUUCUUUAUAUUCCAGUUUCAUCUCUCCCCAUUGAUUUUGCCAUUUGUGGCUUAUGAUGGAAAUGUGGAUAGCGGAUACAGAUGGAGCAGUUACUAGAUGCGUCUCUCUAUUUUGUAACCCGGGCACUCCUGGGGAAUCAGCUGCAUGGGUAUUUGCUUCCUUAACUCUUCCCUGGGUUUCACCAAGUUGAGGUCGCCUGGAAGAUGGUUGUCAGUUCUGUGGAUUGGUUCACACUGUACAAUGUGAAAAGGGAUGGAAAAACUAAGACCACCCAACAUCAAAGCUUAGAGGACAAUAUAAGUACAUAGCUUGUGACCUUUUAUAUUAAUUUUAUGAAUACACUUUGCUAAAACAGGAUAAAAAUACAUUAUGUUUGAAUAGUUUCUUUCUAUUCAGUUCUUAGGAGGCAAUGAAAUGUUUAUUUUGCUGCAGCUUGAAUAUGAUGCUGGCAUCAUAAAGAAGGCUGGUAUUUACUGUGCUUUAAGAAAACUCAAGUGGCAUGUCAUAUAGGUAGAGGCCAGUCUGGAACACAGCUUUGAUCUGAAAAAGGAAGUGGAAAAGGCCUUGAAGUUAUGAAGCAGGAGACCCACGUUGCUGCAUGAAAGCUGCAGCCCCUCAGCACCUCUCACUCUAAAGAAUGGAUGUGUGUACAACUGAAUCACUUUGUUGUACAGCAGAAAUUAUCACAACAUUGUAAAUCAACUAUAUUUCAAUAGGACUUAAAAAUACAUAAAUAUAUAUGUAUAUUUUUUAGCAAACUGGAAGAGGGCAGAGAAAGUUGCAAGUCACAAUCAUACUGGAAGACAGAAAUGACAGCUGACAGCAAGGAAAGUGACAGCAAAGCUCAAUCAGCAAUGCAGGACUGCUGUAGACUAGCUAGGAAAUGUUGGCUUUUGUUGGCAAGUCCAGGGUAGACCCAGUGGGGAUUGCCUUCGGGCACAAUGCACAGGAUGGGGACAUUGGAGGGAAUGGCUCCAGCUAGGAGGAUGUGAAUCUCUAAAUGUUCAUCAAUUUGCCAAGCCAAAGAGCUCUGCCUGGGGAAGAAUCUGGCAGAGGAAGCUGGGCAAGUGUUGCCUGGUUCAGAAGAGAUGCUGGAGGACCAAGAGUUGAUUUUCAAGAUAGGUGUGCAUGAGUGUUAAAGUGUAGUGUGCUGAGGUUGACGUUGGUGGUUAGGUUGACUCACAAACUAAAUUAGAAGAGUUUAAGUUUUUGAUGGCUGAGUUCCUUUAGUGUAACCAUUGCACAAAAACCUGCUGCAGAUGGGUACCUUCAAGAUAUACGUUCUAUGGAUGGAGCACAGUGAUCCUAGGGUAUGUGAUGUACAUAGUAUGUAAUGCCUUUUUUUCUAAUUAUACAGAAAGAAAUUAAGAUUUAGGUAAGUAGGAGUUCCUAUUUUGGCUCAUCAGAUGUGGUAACUGCUGAGCCAUGACAGGAAUUCCUAACAUUUUAUGCUCAAUUUAUGAAUAGUAUCACAACACUUCCAUUUUUAGGAACACUCUCCAAUGCUUCAUCCUGAAUCUGUUGUCUUUCCUCACCACCACACCUCAUUCGUGCCAAGUUUUUGCAGGGAGCUCCUACUCGCUGCAUGCACUCUCUGUCUUCCUUUGACUUUUCUCUCUCUACAAUCUGGAUUCUGCCCCAGGAUUCCAUGGAAGGAAACUGCCCUUGUUUUUAUGCUCUGGCUUUAACCAUGAGUAAUCACAUAAUGCCAAACUGAGGGUGAACUUUAAUUGCUCAUUUUUUAUUGGUAUAUUGGAUAUUCUUUGGUAUUUUAAUCAUCUUAACCAUUCCUUCUUUUUUGAAUAUCCUUUCUGUCCACCUCUAUCUGUACACCUGCUUCUUUUUCUUUCUUUCUUUUCUUUUCUUUUUUUUUUUGCUUUUAGAGCUGCCCCCAUGGCACAUGGAGGUUCCCAGGCUAGGGGUCUAACUGAAGCUACAGCUGCCAGCCUAUACCAGAGCCACAGCAACACCAGAUCUGAGCCAUGUCAUCGACCUACACCACAGCUCAUGCUGUGCCAGAUCCUUAACCCACUGAGCAAGGCCAGGGAUCAAACCCGCAGCCUCAGGCUUCCUGGUUGGACUCAUUUCUGCUGCGCCACAGUGGGAACUCCUGUCCACCUUUUUUUUUUUUUUUUUUUUAAAGUAUCUUCUUUCUGUCCGCACUCAUAACUACCUACCUUGGAAACCAUCUCUUUCAGGUCAAAAAUGGUAAACAUCAUCUUUAGUCUAAUUAGUUCCUGCAUCUCUAGUUCCUUCUCUGAUGAACACCAGCAUCUGCUCUAUUGCCUGAGACUGAACUUCAACUCCUUCUACUGAUGAGCCAGUCGAAGACAUUCUUCACUACUAUGUUUAUGAUUGAUGGUAUUUCCUUUUGAUUCUUUGAGUUUACAUCUCCCUGCUUACAUUACAUUUCCUAUUUUUCUUGCAUAUUGUUUACCACCUUUUUUCAUUAGGGCCCUUUACAUAUUAAGUGGUUAUUUAAAAUUCUCUAUGUCAUAGAUGUCAGAGUUAUGAUUGAAGUCUAUCUCAUGCCCAAGACCCUCAUUGUCCAUCACCAAGUCCCAUUACUUCUCUUUCCAAAAUAUCUCUUGAAACAUCCUCAGUUUUAGUCAAGGUAUCCGGGUGUCUUGUCUGGAUCCCUGUGGUUGUCUCCUGACCAUUCUCAUCUCCAGGAAUGCACUGGUUCAGUGGAUCCUUUAAGUGUCAUUUAAGAUCGUCCUUAUGAAGUCUCCCAAUGGCCCAUUCUCCUUAAUAUGGAGUAGAGUGUCCAUCUAUGGCCCCUCACCUCUGGUCCCUUACAAUUUAGUAGAAAAGAUGAAAGGCUCAGGGUCUCGAAACAGGGAUAAGGAUGCAUUUUAUAUGAAUUUUAAAAUUAUCCCUUUAAUUUCUAUUGCUUUAAUUAAAUGAUUCCUUUAAAUUGGGAUCUGUUCACAGAAGUAAGAAAACAGAUCAAAGAGAAAAGUCCCAUAGAACAGAUUUUAAUAAAUGACUGUGUAUCAAUACAAAGUAUGUUUCUUUGUGAUCACAUUAACGUAUUUGUACUUGAACCGAGAAAGGGACUGGAUUGAAAUGUCUUUUAUUUUGGCCACAACCGCAAUAAAGUUCUGAUGGCUGUGAUGUGACACAUUAUCUGUCAGAACAUACAUGAGCCUGGACACAGGUAAGAUGAGGGCCCCCAGCAUAAGCCUUUGACCUAUUUUCAACCCCAGGCGCUCUUAAUUCACUUCCGAAGACCAAAUGAAGUGAUAACCGUAACGUGCCACCAGUCUAGAAUUUAGCUGGCCCUGGAGACAUUGCAUUAGUGUCCUAUGGGUGAGGUCUAAAUUAGAUGGCAGUCAGGUAUGUACACAGGAAUGGUCAUUACGGCGGGCAGAUGUGCACGGCUAAUGGCUGGCAGUGGAGAUUGCUGCAGGGGGAAUUCCUUGAUAAAAAUGAGUUAAAAUGAGACAAUUGAUUAUCCAGAAGGGUGCUUUUCUACAGACUGCACUUUUAUUGGUGAAGGCAAUCAAAGGGGAAAAAAUUGAGCCAUUAAAAAAGAAAGCCACUAUAAUGUAUUUAUUUAAUAUCAUCUAUGUAGCACACAACUAUAUGCAUAUAUAUGAUUUUUUUUUCAGUCUGAGUAAAUUAUAGGAAAUACUGCUUUUAUUUUUUUUCCUAAAUAAAUGGAAAUGGGAGGCUGGCACAUUAAGGCAAUGUAGGAACCUAAUGUACAGGGGCAGAGGGACUACUUCCGAAAGAGCUAAAUCUUUAUCCGUGUAAGCCAGACUGCCCGUGAUCUCGUUACACCGCAGAGAGCUUGCAAGCAUUGCUCCCCAAUCACAAAGAAAAAUCAGCGUGCAAGUGACCUGUGUAUUAGCAUCUCUGCAAAUCUCAGGCAGGAGCUGAGAUUUAUAUACAGUUUACACACCCCUGAGGAAAUACCCAUUUUAUGCCAUCGAUAGGCCAGAUGUAUUUUCCUCUGUGAAAUGUGAUCAGAAUGUAAUUAGAAGAAAAUAUUCUAUGUAUUCAAAAACAAAUACACAGUAUUCUUUAAAACUCCAUGGCAAUUUAGAACAGGAGGCGAUAUCAAAUUAGAGGAGUUGUGUGGAAGUGUUAUUAUUGCGUGAUCAGGCCUAUGAAGUUAUAUUUGUGAUAGUGGGAUGAUCAGCGUGCUAUAUAGCCAUUGAGCUGAAUUGAAAAUUUCAUGUGUUUGAAAAAACUUUGAAGAGGAUUACUAAUGUGAUAAAAUAUCUCACAUUAGGUAGUGUGAUUCCUUGAAAAUGAUAGUGUGGAUUUGAGUCUUUUUUUUUUUUUUUCUUUCCCUCCAGAACCAAUUUUACAUAGAAAGAGAAAAAAAAUGAAGAUGGUUUUGGGGAAAAAACACACACAUUUCUAAUAAAACUUGCUAGAGCAAUCAUACAGACUGCUAUUAUUCUACUGCAUCUGUGCAUUUUACUGUAACAAAGUGAUUAAUAUGCUUCAAAAUUUGAACUUAUGGACUCAACUAUUUUAGUGUCAUAUCCAAAUACACAAAAACCCUACACAUCUAAUUUCUAUGUAAUACCAAGUAGUAUACAAUUAUAUGUGUAUUUAUAAUGUUUAGGCAUUUGAAUGGAUUGUGUGACAUAAGUGUGGACAAUUAUAUACAGGAACAUGAAUAAAACAUGUUCAAAUGCAUAAACAAGGCAGAUACCAGCCAAAAGACCUGUAUAUAUGCAUGACGAAUUAGGAUGAUAAUUCGCCUUUUAAUCUCUCCUAGACUUUGGAUCACAAUAUUAUAUAUAAGACUGAAUACUUUAUGGGAAAUAUAUGGGGAAAAAGGCAUAAUUUAUAACCUAAAUACUACAAGGAUUUUAAUCCUUUUUUUUAUAUGAACCGAAAAAGGUGAGUUUCUCAACCUCUCUGAAGAGGUCCAAAGAGAGGAUAGAUUAGUGGUCUUGGAUUUAAACUCAGGAUUAACAGGACUUGCCCCAAACUGAAGGUAUUAGGAGCCAAAUUUACGAAGCAGAAUAUUCUCAUAAGCAGCUUCUGGCCUCAUCUGGGAUUAUUGAUGGGUUCCAAGGAACUAGUAAUUCAUAGAUUUACUCUGGUAUUUGUCAAACCUUGUAAAUGUGAAGAAUGUCUGAAGAGAAGGAGGGUUGAUGGCUACACAUUAAGGAUUAAAUAAGACAUGGCACUUAAAAAACAUGGCCCUGAAUGCUUGGAUAUUCCUCCCACUGCGAGGCUGGCCCAUGUCCCUUCCCUUUGAAUCAAGUUGGGUUUGACUGUUUCAACACAUAGCAUGCAGUGGAAGUGAUGUCAUGUGAUUUUGAAUCUCCAUCAGAAGGGACUGUGCAGUGUUCACCCCGUUCUUUGGGAAUGUUCUCUCCAGGAGAAGCCGGCCACCUGGUAAAGACAUCUCCACAUGCCAAGACCACCAUGCUGGAGAGGCACCUAUGGGCCCUCUGGCUGACAGGGUGUCUUUGCAGGUCCUGAAGAGCAGAGAUAAGCCAUGCUCCCUUUUCCUUCUCCAGAUCUCUGACUCUCAGAGUCUGUGGGAAUAAUAAAGUUGUUAUUUUAUGCCACUUUUGGGGUGUUUGGUUCUCAGCAACAGUUACUGAGACAAGCCCAUAUUUCCCAAACUUAUCUUUAAUAAUUAUCACUUGGGGAAUAUGUUAGAAACAGGUUCCCACAUUGCACUCACAGACGUUCUGACUUAAGAGGUCUGGCCAGGGUAGGAAUGGAAAAAUCUAUUUUUAACAAACAGUAAGGAAAGUUAACUAUAGUAAAAUGACCCCAAGAUGCCAAAUGAUUUGUUGGCCAGUUUGG